CACACAGGGGCCAUUGUGACAUAUAUCCAGGCCAAUUGCCUAGGUGAAGUUUGUCUCCUUUCCUGCCUAAGCCCUGCCCACGGGGAAGAUUUAGAUAUAUCACUAAAACCAGCACCCAAGUGAUGUGACUCUUCACCAGAGUCCUGCCCACAAGGAGGAUUGUGACAUUUCACUGGACCAGCACCCACUCAGGAAUCAAAUCCGAGUUCGUCUACAGCUGAUUCGGCAGGUACCAGGGCGUCCGCGAUGGUGAGUGAUAGCACCGCGAUGGUGGUAUUGCUCCAUAUGCCUGAGACCCUAACAAAAGCCUAAUUACAACUCAUAUGCCUGGAGCCAGGACAUGUGCAGGAUGGUGAUGUAACUUUCCUCUCUGGAAUGGGUCCUGCACAAAGGAAUGAUAGUAACAUAUUGCAAAGCCAGACACACAGCCAUGAUGGUCCAAGUUAUAUUGGGAUUCAGCCAAUAGAAGAUAUUUUGCCUGUCAUCCCUAAGCUUAGGACAAUAGACUCUGCCAAGAGAGGGGAUUAUUACAUAUUGCAGAGCCCAGCACCUAGGUGGAGUGACUCUCAUCUUUUUCUUCUACCCCGUAUAUAGCCAGCUUGGUGACCUACUAUUUGAGUCUAUACCCAGGCCCAGACCACAGAUGAAAUUGUGCAAUAUGUGGAACAAACACCUAAACAAUAUAUAACACCUUCCUUGGCUCUGUCUACAAAGGGCACUUUUAUAUAUCACUGGGACCAUCAACCAGGUGAUAUAACCCUCUUCUCUGGAAUGGGCCCCACACAAAGGAAGGAUAGUGACAUAUUGCAAGCCCAGGCACACAGGCCCAGAGCACAGUUGAAAUUGUGACAUAUGUACACCAAGCAACCAAGCAAUGUAUAACACCUCAUUUGGCAAUGGAAUCGAGGGCACUUUUACAUAUCACUGAGACCAGCGCCCAGCUGAUGUGAAAUAUUGGCCUGAACCCUGCCUACAAAAGCAUUGUGGCUUUUAUCUAGCUCCAUUACAUAAGUGAUGUGACUUCCUUCUACUGCCUUGGCCCUGCACUUAUGGUGAAUCGUGACACAAAAUUGGGUAGAGCAACCAGCCUGGGCCCUGACCAGCACAGAGAUUGAGGCAUAUUGCUGAACCCAGGACCAAGAUGAAGUCACUCUCCUGCCUUGAUCCUGCACACAGGGACCCUUGUGACAUAUAUACAGGCCAAUUGCCUAGGUGAUGUUGUGCAAUAUACCUGAGACCAGAUCAAUGGCCUAAUAAUGACUCUUUUACCUAGAGCCAGGACAUGUGCAGGAUGGUAACUCUCAUCCCUGAACCUUUCCACAGGUGUUAUUGUCACAUAUACCUUUUCCAGCUCCAAAGUGAUUUAAUAAUCCAGCCUAGUUAUAGCCCACAGAUAAUAUUUGGACAUAUACCUGAGUCAAGAACCUUGGUGAUUUGACUCUCAUGUCUUAACAGUGUCCUCAGAAGGGAUCAUAACAUAUCUCUGGACCCAUCAUCUAGGUUAUGUGACUCUCUUCUCCUGCCUGAACCCUGCUUCCAGUGAAGAGUGUUGCAUUUCUAAGCACUGCAUCCAAAUGACAUGAGUUUCUUGCCUGGGCCGUUUCAACAGAAGGCAUUGUGACAUAUCUCUAGGUCUAUCAUUUAGGUGAUAUGACUCUCCUCUCCUGCCUGGACACUCUCCACAAGGGGCAUUAUGCCAUAGAGCUAGAGCUAGCAACCAAGUUUUGUGAAUUUUCUGUUAGGGCCUUGCCUACAAAGAGAAUUUUGGAAUAUUUCUGGCUUAGAAUUUAAGUAAUGUGGUUGUUCUGCCUGUUCAGUAACCACAGAGGAGAAGGUGAAAUAUAUCUAGGCACCGCAAACAGGCAUGAUAAUGAGUCUUGUAUGUGGACCCAGCAAAUAGGAGAAAUUUUGACUCUUAUAACUAGGUUUAGGAACAUGAGUGAUGUCCAGGAUCUCCUUCUGGUAAGAAGGUCACAGAAGAUUGCAACACUCACAAUUAUUUUGUAACACCUUUGGGUUGUAUAGGGAGUGUCGUAACAGGGCCAAACACACAGAGGAAAUUGUGACAGUCAUAUGCACACCUACCUGACAGUAAAGACUUUCACAAUCACAAAUGGAUGAAGGCAACUGUCCUACAUGAAAACAGGACAUGUGUGGUAUUGUACAUCUAAAACCUAGAAUUUUAUUCCAUUGUGACUGUGAUAUAAAUCAAUGCCAAGCACCUGCGUGAUUU
ensembl:lncRNA LINC00293 long intergenic non-protein coding RNA 293